GAUGAAGAACGUAGCGAAAUGCGAUAAGUAAUGCGAAUUGCAGAAUUUCCGUGAGUCAUCGAAUCUUUGAACGCACAUUGCGCCCCUUGGUAUUCCGAGGGGCAUGCCUGUUCGAGCGUCAUUAUAACCCCUCAAGCUCAGCUUGGUGUUGGGGCCUGCUGCACUGGCAGCCCUUAAAAUCAGUGGCGGCGCCAUCUGGCUCUAAGCGUAGUAAUUCUUCUCGCUAUGGAGUCCUGGUGGAUGCUUGCCAUCAACCCACAAUUUUUCUAUGGUUGACCUCGGAUCAGGUAGGGAUACCCGCUGAACUUAAGCAUAUCAAUAAGCGGAGGA
rnacentral:misc_RNA from 1 species